UUUAGUUAAGAGUUUGAUCCUAGCUCAGGAUGAACGCUGGCGGCGUGGAUAAGGCAUGCAAGUCAAACGGCUCGCAAGAGCAGUGGCAGACGAGGUAGUAAUAAGUAAGUGACCUACCCUUGAGUCAGGGAUACCUCAUCGAAAGGUGAGUUAAUACUUGAUGGUCUCAAUGAUUCAUUUCAUUGAGUAAAGAUUUAUCGCUUAAGGAAGGGCUUGCUGAGUAUCAGCUAGUUGGUGAGGUAAAAGCUCACCAAGGCUAUGACGCUUAGGGGACCUGAGAGGGUGACCCCCACCGAUGGAACUGAGAGACGGUCCAUACACCUACGGGUGGCCGCAGUCGAGAAUCUUCCGCAAUGGACGCAAGUCUGACGGAGCGACGCCGCGUGGAUGAUGAAGCGCUUCGGCGUGUAAAAUCCUUUUGCCAGGGAG
rnacentral:rRNA from 1 species